GCGCCAACAGUCUCGUCGCAACGCGUGGGGAGCAGGCCGCGGCGGGAUGCCCGCGCUGCCGCCGUCGCGGCGUCGUUUUGCAGUCAGGCGGCGUUCCGGGCAGCCAGCACGCUGCCGCGGGUGACGGAAGUGCCUUCAAGGCAGCAGCGCGGUGUCGCGCAGCCGCGGGGAGGUGGUACCGGCGGCCGUCGCCGAGCGCGGCGGGAGGCGGCUGCCUGCUAUGGCGGGCCGCGGCUCCGGCUCCUCGGAGCACCUGGAGCGGCUGCACGACAUCUUCCAGGCACUGCACAGAGACCUGCGGGGCGUCCCCGAGCGGUUGCGGGGCAGCGCGGCCGAGGAGAAGAAAAAACUAGUUCGAGAAUUUGAUGAGAAACAGCGUGAAGCAAAUGAAACGCUGCGGGAAAUGGAGGAAGAACUGAAGUAUGCUCCUCUGCCUUUCCGCAACCAAAUGAUGAGCAAAAUCCGGGCGUAUAGAAGAGACCUCUCCAUGUUCCAGAGAGAGAUGAGAAGCACAGAUUUGGGACUGGGCUCUGGAAGUCAAGGCGAUAUGAAAUACGGGAUCUUCUCCACAGAAAAUGAACAGAGUACUAAUCUGCAGUCACAGAGGGUGCUGCUUCUCCAGGGAACAGACAGCCUGAACCGAGCCAGUCAGAGCAUCGAGCGCUCGCACCGAAUUGCUGCUGAAACAGAUCAGAUUGGCACAGAUAUCAUUGAAGAACUUGGGGAGCAGCGGGAGCAACUGGAACGCACCAAGAGCAGAUUGGUGAAUACAAGUGAGAACUUGAGCAAGAGUCGCAAGAUUCUACGUUCCAUGUCCAGGAGAAUAACCACUAACAAGUUGUUGCUGUCAAUCAUCAUCAUCCUGGAACUCGCCAUCCUAGUAGGUGUGGUCUACUACAAGUUCUUUCGCAGCAGAUGAAUCUUCAUGACUAGGAAGAGCUUUUCCACUGCUGAGGAAGUGGAUGAGCUGUCUGUUCCAUCUGACCUACUGAGGAUUGAACUGUCUCAUGAGACAGCAUGUUCAGCUGAAAGUGUACUGACACUAGAAAGACAGAAUGUGAGGAAAAGGAAAAUGCAGAGACAGACUUGAAUUACUGAAAGCCAGGGUGAAAGGCUGAAAUAUUGAUUUACAUGGCAUCUAGGACAGAGGAAGCACCAAGCUUGGGGAUUUCAUAGACAGCUCAUCAAGAUGAAUGAGACAUUCUGCAUUUUUCAGGUCAAUAGUUGAAGGAUGCCUGUGAACUGUGUGUAAGCCUAGUUAAAGAAAAAGUGAAGGAUAAUCUCAAACUGGAAAUGUUAGUUACAUGUACUGCAUUAAGUCUGACAACUGAUGGCACACUUAAUAAAUGGCACACUGCUUGCAACUCAGAUGACCUAUCUAUCUAUGUUGUAGGCUCUGUACUUCCAACUCACUGUAGAUGUUCAGUAGGGAGGAGCAUCUGGAUUAGCACUUUCUUUACAUGGCACAGCUGCAGCGAGGAAGAGGGCGCACACUUGCAGAUACAACAGCAUGCAGCACAGAUCCAUGGACCUUGUUCUGCUUACAGGACUUUGUUCUGCCCCAUGGGAAGAGGUUACCCUUUCUAGCUCUGAUCCUCUCCCAGUGUCCCUGGACUGGCAUGAUUUGCUCCCUGAUCUGGUUCCCCAAACUUGCACAAGGUCAGAGACAUCAGUACUGAACCGAAGUCAGGGAGUGGUUAGAGCAAACUUCACCAGCUGAACUGAAAGUGGCCUUUGUCCUCAGGACAGCAGAUGCUUAGUGUAAGGUGGAAGCCAACAAAUGCUUCUUCCUCAUGUGCUAACAGCUGAAUUCAAGUUGCUAUACAUACAUGUUUUAAAGUGUAAUGCAUACCCUAGAUUCUGAGUUGGUUAAAACAUCUUGUCAAACUGUAGAAUUCCUCAAGAAACAGAACUAAUUAAAUAAUACAGAGCCACAACUGUAGUGACUGUAACCUAUCACGUAGCUUUUUGUCAAACACUGUGAAAUGGUUCCAGUUCAAGACGUGGAAUUUGAGGACUAAAGUCAGUGCUAAAACUUUACUAUUUACUGGACACUGUCACAGUUCUGUUAGGCCACCUUACAUCGAGAGUGAUGUUCACUUAAAUAACUUCCAGGAAAGUAGAUAUUCAACAAAUGGAUGAUAAAGAGUAAUGUAAAUCAGAUAAUUUGUUACCUGCCCAUCAGUUGUUCAAAUGUUCUUUCCAUAACUUUCUGAAUUCCAAGGCGAUCAAUAUCCCUCAUGGAAAAAUACUGGAUGUCAUAGUUCUUCAAAAUAUAGCUGUUAAAAUAUUUUUUUUUUAAAUCAUUACUGGCCUAAGCUUAAAUGUAGCAACCUUUGUGAACAGCCAGAUAUGGAAAGAAGCUCAAUGACUUUAAUCUAAGUCAACUUACUAUUCAGCAGGAUCCAGAUCCCUCAAACCAAUGUACACAAUAUCAGAUGGUGAAAGGCAGGGCUUUAGCCAGGAAAAGCCAGGAAGCUGUGGUACCUGCAAGCAAAGGUUUGGUAUUAGGUUAGUUUAAUGACAUAUAUAACAAAACCGUAUUUAAUGCUUCCCUCAGAACUUUAUUUAUAGCUCUCUUUCUCUGUCUAAACAGAGAAACUUCAUCACUUUAGAGUCUGGCUUCCUGAUUUAAUCAGUCCUUACUUCUGUCAUACCAUUUUACCUGAGUAGAAUGUUAAUGGAUGAAGGUUUAAACUCUUCUACAUUUUCCAGUUUGAAAAGGAGGAAUGAAAACCCCAAAUCCACAACCAAUAGAUAACUGGCAUCAGUGAAUGUGAUGGGGAAAUGCUAAGAAAGUGGAGGUCACUUAUACAGUGCAUUUAAUGGUAAUGCUAUGUAGCUUACACAGUACAUCAUAUUCAAGUGGAAGAAUAAAAACCAAGGCACCUGUAUCUUUUUAGGAGACUCACCAAAAAGUCAUACAGACUUUGUUGCAAAAACAAUGUUAAAGAUAGAAGAAUUCAAACUGGGAAGUUUAAAAAAAUAGAAAAAAAGAGCAUGACAAGAAGUUGGGCCUCCACAUUGGGCUACAUCACACUGUUUUUUAAUGUAGAACUGAAGAGAGCAGAUUUAAGACAGCAAACAAAAGAGGACAAGGUCAUAAUUUUUCAGCUUUAGUAAUUAUAAAAAUCCUUCAGUUAGUAAUAUCUACUAAUUUUAGGAGUGCUUUAAAUUAACUCAAUUUUUUUCUUCUUCGUCUCCCAGCUCUGAAAACAGCUGUCAAGCAGCAAGAAGGCUUUGUUUCCCUCUUGUACUUUUCAAUUACUAAUUCUAUUCUAGUUACAAAUUUUGAAUUUGUUUUUAAAGGCUAACACACCCAUAGCUGCAUUUAAUUACAUUGAGAUUAAAUAAGCACAUGUAAUAAAUGUAUUUGUUACUCUGAGGCAAUGAUCUUUUUCUGCAGUCAUGAAUUCAGAAGAGAUAAAUGAAAUGGAGACCACUAGGAAAAAUAACUCAGGUCUCAGAAAUGAAGCUGUAUCUGCAAAACCCAUCACCAUACCAUAAGUUGAGCAUAGUUUUGAUAAUAUUGUCAUACUGUCUAGUAUCAAUUAUUUAGUAGAUUUAAUACUGCCAUAUUUAAUUAUACCUCUUCCUCUUUAAAUAAAGAAAAUGGAAAUGGAAUGCCUUCA